CGGAGGAUCCAAGCGUUAUCCGGAUUCAUUGGGUUUAAAGGGUGCGUAGGCGGAACGAUAAGUCAGUGGUGAAAGCCUGCAGCUUAACUGCAGAACUGCCAUUGAUACUGUCGAUCUUGAGUACAUUUGAUGAGGGCGGAAUGUGUCAUGUAGCGGUGAAAUGCUUAGAUAUGACACAGAACACCGAUUGCGAAGGCAGCUCUCAAAACUGUAACUGACGCUGAGGCACGAAAGCGUGGGUAUCAAACAGGAUUAGAUACCCUGGUAGUCCACGCUGUAAACUAUGAUCACUCGAUGUUUGCGAUAUACUGUAAGCGUCCAAGCGAAAGCGAUAAGUGAUCCACCUGGGGAGUACGCUCGCAAGAGUG
rnacentral:rRNA from 1 species